rnacentral:rRNA from 1 species
UACGUAGGGGCCUAGCGUUGUCCGGAUUUAUUGGGCGUAAAGAGCUCGUAGGUGGCUUAGUAAGUCGGGUGUGAAACCUCCAGGCUCAACCUGGAGACGCCACCCGAUACUGCUAUAGCUUGAGUCCGGUAGGGGAGCGUGGAAUUCCUGGUGUAGCGGUGAAAUGCGCAGAUAUCAGGAGGAACACCAGCGGCGAAGGCGGCGCUCUGGGCCGGUACUGACACUGAGGAGCGAAAGCGUGGGGAGCAAACAGG